CCCACACCUCUCUUGUUUCUCCACUGCACAAUUAGGUUGGGAUUGGAUUCAGGUGGUGUUGCUAAUGUCUCCUGGUAUUCUGUUUGUGUGGAGAAGAGGGUAGAGAACUUCUAAUUUAUGUGGUGUGGUGUAGCUAGUUUUCUGAUUUCCCUCGUUCUGCUGAUUUGGUAAUUUUGUGGUGGGAUCCCAGUUAAUGCUCCAGUGACUUCACGUUGAGACAGAAUGAUGAGAGGAGGGGACUGCAUGUCUUAAUAAAGGAAUUUGUUUCUAACUCUGCCAGUAUUUAAACUACUGCUAACUGUUUCCUGCAGCAUCAUAAUUUUCCUUUAAUGGUCAUAAUUGAGCGAUGGAAUGAUGAAAGCACUGGGUUUACUAGUGUUGUUCAAAACUUACUGUAACAACAGAAAACAGCUAGCGUAUUCCAGCAAGGCUACUCACAGGCUCAUCUGGGAAAUGAGACCUCAGAUACUGAAAUCUCCCAGCUUGCACUGUGAUUUAUGCUGAAUGAAGAAACACCGUCUCCCUCAAGAUUCAGGACAGCAGGAAACCGGUAAUGUACUAAAAUAAAACAGUCAGAAUUAGGAAGUACUAGUGUCCCACUUUGCAUGUAUGUUUAAUAAGAUUAAGUUAAAAUAAUGUCCAGAAUUGUGGGGCAUCAGUUUGCUUGGCUUCUA